rnacentral:rRNA from 1 species
UACGUAGGGUGCGAGCGUUGUCCGGAAUUAUUGGGCGUAAAGAGCUCGUAGGCGGUUUGUCGCGUCUGCUGUGAAAACUCGGGGCUCAACUCCGAGCUUGCAGUGGGUACGGGCAGACUAGAGUGCGGUAGGGGAGACUGGAAUUCCUGGUGUAGCGGUGGAAUGCGCAGAUAUCAGGAGGAACACCGGUGGCGAAGGCGGGUCUCUGGGCCGUAACUGACGCUCAGGCACGAAAGCGUGGGGAGCAAACAGG